ACAACUGGUGGGUCGACAUCAACAGCUGUCUCAACUACAACUGGAGGUUCAACAACAACUACUGGAUCCACAACAACCUCUGCUUCAACAACAUCUGUUGGAACAACAGCAACAACAACUACUACAACUAAUGCACCUGUCCAGCCAGUUGUGGUUAUCGCAGCAAUCAUAGUCGAACCAUUUGUAGAAGAAUUAAAAGAUUCAAACAGUGCACAAUUUAAGAGUCUUGAGGCAAAAGUUGUCGCAGUGUAUAAUGUUAUCUACAAGAAAAGAUAUGGCCUCCUCUUCAUCCGCAGUUUUGUCAUAGCUUUUAGACAAGCUGUGACCAGAACACGAAUGGAAAAUACUGAAGCAGAGGUGGGGGUUGAGUUCAACAAUACUGCAUCAUCUUCUGAUAUCCCACAGUCAGGUGAUGUGGCAGACACCUUAAUAGAAGCUGUGUCUAACUCCAGCAACAAUUUCAACCUCUCUGUUCAGACUGACUCCAUCAAAGUAGUUCCAUCAACUACAACUGGUGCGUCAACUAUAACUGGAGGUUCAACAACAACAAUUAGUGGGUCAACAACAACUGCUGCCUCAACUACAACAGGAGCUUCAACAACAACUGGUACAUCAGCUACUGGAGUAUCAACAACAACUGGGGGAUCUACGACAACUGGUGCCUCCACACCAACUGAAACAACUGCAGCCCCCACUUUAAAUACUACAGCUACAACUGCUACAAAUACAAUGACCAGUGCUGCAACUCCAAUUAUUGCUGCUACAACUACAACAACAACGGUCGCAACUACAACCACAACAACUCCUACAACCACUACAUCUGUAGCGACAACUGCUGAGGCAGUCACAACAAGGCGGCUGACUUUUAGAUCUGCUGGACAGACAUUUACAAGUGACUUGCUGAAUCCAUCAUCUGCAGCAUUUACAAGUCAAGCCACAAUGAUAAAGUCAACACUUGAACCUUUCUACCGAAACGCAUUUCCUUCAUUCCGCUCCUUGACAGUGAUUUCUUUCAGUAAUGGAUCAAUCAUCAACACCAUGGACCUAGGAUUUGCAUCUGUACCUAAUGACACUCAGAUUGGAAAUACUUUGGUCAGCGCAGCUUCAAACAUCACAGCCUUCAACAUUGACACCACUUCCAUUUCUGUGAAUGGCACACGUAAGCAAUACUGAAAGCUACCUCAUCAAAAAUUUACAAGAUUACAGAACUGUUUGUUAAAGCAAGCAAGUCAUGUAUCCAUCACUGUUUGUGACACCAGUGUGUGUGCUUAUUUUUAGUGUUGGUCAGUAAACAAUUCUGUUGUCUCAAUCAACAAAAGGAAGUAAUUACUGGAUUAGUACUAUUUAAUCUAUUUGAUAUACUCCAGAAUUUUAUCUGAAAAUAAUCACCCUACUANCAU
rnacentral:lncRNA from 15 species